GACGGAGGGUGCUAGCGUUGUUCGGAAUGACUGGGCGUAAAGGGCGCGUAGGCGGCUCGUGAAGUCGGGUGUGAAAUCCCGGAGCUCAACUUCGGAACUGCCUUUGAUACAGCACGUCUUGAGUCCGAUAGAGGUGGGUGGAAUUCCUAGUGUAGAGGUGAAAUUCGUAGAUAUUAGGAAGAACACCGGUGGCGAAGGCGGCCUACUGGAUCGGUACUGACGCUGAGGUGCGAAAGCGUGGGGAGCAAACAGG
rnacentral:rRNA from 1 species